UACUGUUGAUAGCUGUCAAUACCAAAGGAAGGACACUGUUUGGAUACCUGCUUGUGCAGAAGGAUGUUGCACCUCAGCUGAACAAGACAGGGCAUGGGACAUUCGGACCUACAGGAUCGUCGCACUCACUCUGAAACCACGCCAGUGCCUGCAGUGCGUGGGGACUACAGAUGAGAUCUUUGUUACAGAAGCAUGAGAUCAAUUCACCAUUCUGGGCCAUGUAGUGGAAGAUUUGAUUCUGAUCUGCUUGAUGCUGGUGUAAAGGAAGAGUCACAUCCUGGAAACAAAUGGAUAUGCCACGGUACAAAGGAGGAUGAGAUCAGAAGCAAGCUCUAUUACUGCUAUGAGCAGCUCCCUGCUGAUGCAGCCAUCCUUGAAAGAAUCAUAGAGACUUACAGUUGACUUUUCAGCUCCUCGUGUAGUUUGAGGCAC